rnacentral:rRNA from 1 species
GGGAUGACACAGUAGGAUAAGCUAAGCACACUGUUGGUUAUGUGUGCCCAAGCAUUGAGGCAGUCAAAGUAGGCAAAUCCGCUUUGAUAAUGCUGGGAUGUGAUGGGGAGCGAAAUUUAGUAGCGAAGUAGCUGAUUUCACACUGUCAAGAAAAGUCUCUAUCGAGGUUAAAGGUACCCGUACCGCAAACCGACACAGGUGGGUGAGGAGAGUAUCCUAAGGCCAGCGAGAGAACUGUUGUUAAGGAACUCGGCAAAAUGACCCCGUAACUUAGGGAUAAGGGGUGCCACCAUCAGGUGGCCGCAGAGAAUAGGCCCAAGCGACUGUUUACCAAAAACAUAGGUUUCUGCUAAGUCGCAAGACGAUGUAUAGGAGCUGACGCCUGCCCGGUGCUGGAAGGUUAAGGGGAUCUGUUAGAGCAAUCGAAGCAGUGAACUUAAGCCCCAGUAAACGGCGGCCGUAACUAUAACGGUCCUAAGGUAGCGAAAUUCCUUGUCGGGUAAGUUCCGACCCGCACGAAAGGCGUAACGAUUUGGGCACUGUCUCAACAACAGACUCGGUGAAAUUGUAAUUCCGGUGAAGAUGCCGGAUACCUGCGACAGGACGGAAAGACCCCAUGGAGCUUUACUGUAGCUUGACAUUGGGUCUUGGUACUACAUGUACAGGAUAGGUGGGAGGCUUUGAAACCAGGACGCCAGUUUUGGCGGAGCCAUCCUUGGGAUACCACCCUUGUAGUACUGGGACUCUAACCAUAGGCCAUGAAUCUGGUCUUGGGACACUGUCAGGUGGGCAGUUUGACUGGGGCGGUCGCCUCCCAAAAGG